CGUGUAGGCGGCUAGUCAAGUCCGAUGUGAAAUCUCGGGGCUCAACCCCGAAACUGCAUUGGAAACUGGCUUGCUAGAGUCCGGAAGAGGAGAUUGGAAUUCCUGGUGUAGCGGUGAAAUGCGCAGAUAUCAGGAAGAACACCCGUGGCGAAGGCGGAUCUCUGGGACGGUACUGACGCUGAGACGCGAAAGCGUGGGGAGCGAACA
rnacentral:rRNA from 1 species